UCUUCCUCUUCUUUUUCUUCUUCUUCUUUUUCUUCUCCUCCUCUUGCUCCCCCCUCUCGCCGUCCAGGGCCAUCACACCGCCUCCUCCUCUUCCCCCGCCCCCUCCGACACCCCCAGCGGGCGGGCCACCCGGGCCACCGGCAGCGCAGUCAUCGGAGAGCGCACGCGGGCGGAGGGCGCAACGCCGCCGCCUGGGACCCUAGGGAGGCCAGCCCGGGUUCUCUGGAGACAGACUGGGGUGGCCGGCGACGGCCGCGACGACCCCCGGCAGCCCCGCCUCUCCCCGGACACCAGCUGCCGAACGCGGGGCAAUCAGCUCUGGGACGCGCCCAACUUGGGGAGCUUGUCGCUCGCAGGGUGCGCGCUACUACUCGUCGGGCUGGCACCGGGUGCCCGGGCACACGCCGCCCCCGCCCCUGUGCGCCAGCGGCUCGCGUGUCCUCCCGAGCGCCGCACUCUCCUAGGCUGGUUGCGGCGACUCUCGCACCGGCCCUCGGCGGGGAGGACGGAGAGCGACCGAGCUGGCAGGCAAGUUAGGGCUUCGCCCAGCUCCCGGCACUCCUCCCGCAGCGUUUGGUCUUCUGGGUUGGUUGUGCUCGCAAAGACAGUUGCGGCGGCGGCGGCGGCGGCGGCGGCAGCCCGGAAGGCGCCGGAGCCUUCCACCCCGCAGCGGGAGAGGAGAGGAUGGACCAGAGGACCGAGGGAAGGACUGGAGUGAGCCAGCCGGAGGAAGUCCCACGGCCGCGGAGCAUCCGUCCUGGAGAUGCCUUCUCCACCUUGGACACUUUAAGCAGUGGUGGCGGUAAAAGGCGUGAGGUUGCGGACUGGACAGAGAGGCUCCCGCGUUCCGCUGUUGUCCCUCUGCCCUCCGGAGAAGACAAGUGAAGAAGUGUCCCGCCGGGGCAUCCACUUCAGGACAAGAGCAUUGACCAUAAGAGCUCCUGUUCUUACCAGCGGUUCCACCGUUUGCCCUCCCACUUUUGAAAUGCUCACAUGUCAGCAGACUGUACAAAACAGAAGUGGCACCCCCUCACAAGCUCAAGAGCUCAAGACACCGAUACACAAGAGGCUGGCAUAACCUCACACAGAACACCACAACUAACAGAAAAUGAAAUGAUGGAAAACUGAGGCUUCCGAAUGGACAGAAAUAUUUGAGUUACUUGGAGCAGAAACAAAGAAGAAAUAAGCCCUCUGCUAAGGGCAGAUGGGAUAAGGUUAACAGAUGACAGAGAGAACGUGGAACAACCUCACUGCUAUUGUGCUUCUGUUAAUCUGUCCAGAUGACCUUAAAAUGAGUGAAAAUGUGAUGUCACUACACUACUUCAGCUUGAAAAUAUGAAUACUGAGACAACGGUAUUAACUUUAACUCCAGAGAACGCUCUGCCCCAUCAACCAACAAUUUUACUCAAAAGAUAAAAAAAAAAAAAGACAGAAAAAUAAAUAUUUCUCAGAGCCAUCAAAGCCAAAUAAACAAACUGUAAUUCCUGAACACAACAACAGGUGUGGAGACUGCAAAAUGAUUGCUUUUGGUUAAGGUACAAGACACAGUCACUCUCAAGAAAUUAAAGUCAGUUAAAGUAAGAAUAACACAAAAAUUUUUUCACCAGCAUUUGAAAAUUUGGAUAACUUACAUAAGGAAAACAAACUGAACUAAAAUGUUUUGGGUGGUAGAUAAUAGAAUGUUUGGAGGUGGUGUUUUGUUUUGUUUUGUUUUGUUUUGUUUUGUUUUGUUGGAGUUUCACUUUAAAGGGACCUAGAAGAUUUUUAUCUCCAUUUAGAAAAUCAUGCAUGCUAGGCCUGAAGCAGUUAUUUAUGCUGUGACAUAACAUGUUUUUGACGCAGAAAAUUCUUGUCAAAAUGCUAGAUACAAAGGCAGCUAUUCUGAAGGUUUUAAGGAGAAUGGGGAAUACCUGGCUGUUGUCAGUCAAUAACGUAUCUGACAUAAAUAGUGAUUGAAAACUGACAGCUACAUGAUGUGAUUUAGAAGCCUCAAGCUCCAACAAAUGAAAAGGUGAGAAGUAUCAAUUUUGCAUUUAAUAGUAAUUUUUAUGUAAUGUAAUUUAACUUCUAUUCAUUGCAACAAACCUUAUAGCAAUUAUAUUAGUAAUUAGUGAGUCAUGGCAUAAAUAACACCUUUAAUUGAGUACUUAUUUUUUUAGGAUAGCUGCAAUUGUGCCUCU